AUAGAAAGUCACUUAAUAUGGGACGGAGGGAGUAGUUGUCUUCCUAAUCAACAGGUAGGUUGAGUAUUUUAUUUUAUUUUGACAGCAGGUAGGAUGGGUCUUUUUUUUUUCUUAAGGUUUAGGUCAGCAGGUAGGAUGAGUCAAAUUUACUUGCUACAUUCCUAAAUUCUUGUCAUCAAUUCGUUUCUCGUUGCGGCCCAAAAUCAAACUGCAGUAGUCAGAAGUCAGAACGCCAUUUUUUUUCGGGACAAGGCCAUCCAGUGGACAUUACAGAGUGAGC
rnacentral:lncRNA from 1 species